rnacentral:rRNA from 1 species
CAGUAGCCGCGGUAAUACGUAGGUGGCAAGCGUUAUCCGGAAUUAUUGGGCGUAAAGCGCGCGCAGGCGGUUUCUUAAGUCUGAUGUGAAAGCCCACGGCUCAACCGUGGAGGGUCAUUGGAAACUGGGGAACUUGAGUGCAGAAGAGAAAAGCGGAAUUCCACGUGUAGCGGUGAAAUGCGUAGAGAUGUGGAGGAACACCAGUGGCGAAGGCGGCUUUUUGGUCUGUAACUGACGCUGAGGCGCGAAAGCGUGGGGAGCAAACAGGAUUAGAUACCCGUGUAGUCCCUGUCUCUUAUAC